UGGUAAUUUUGAUAAUUUUUUGAAAUCUAAUUCGAAAUUGUCUGACCAGAAUCCAGUCCGACCCGAGUUUGUUAAAGCGUUCCAAUUCGAUCCGAAAAAUUAAUCGGACACUGUUACUAUAUUCUUGUCAAGUUUUCCACUUUAACCUCCCCGAGUUUUUAAACAUUAUGCUGGAACGAAUUCAGAAACGAGCGUUCAAUAUCGUAUAUGGUUACGAUGUACCUCAAUUCUGAAGCGUUGGUAAUGUCGAAACUGCAUAAACUUUCCGAUCAUCGUAGUCCUCUUUGUGAUGAAUUUUUCAACAAAAUUGUAAUGAACCCAAAUGAUAAAGUUAAGGAACAAAAGAAAUUUCACUAUACCUAUAUGUAAAACGGAC